rnacentral:piRNA from 1 species
AGGGAUGUCUGUGCAGCCAAGGAAGCAAA